rnacentral:rRNA from 1 species
UACAGAGGUCUCAAGCGUUGUUCGGAUUCAUUGGGCGUAAAGGGUGCGUAGGCGGCGCGAAAAGUGGGGUGUGAAAGCCCUCGGCUUAACCGAGGAAUUGCGCUCCAAACUACCGUGCUUGAGGAAGCUAGAGGUGAGCAGAACUGAUGGGUGGAGCGGUGAAAUGCGUUGAUAUCGAUCAGGAAUACCGGAGGCGAAGGCGGCGUCACUGGGGCUUUUCGACGCUGAGGAACGAAAGCCAGGGUAGCGGAACGGG